rnacentral:rRNA from 1 species
CCUACGGGAGGCAGCAGUGAGGAAUAUUGGUCAAUGGGCGAGAGCCUGAACCAGCCAAGUCGCGUGAAGGAUGACGGCCCUACGGGUUGUAAACUUCUUUUGUCAGGGAGCAAUUGAGUCCACGUGUGGGCUUAGCGAGAGUACCUGAAGAAAAAGCAUCGGCUAACUCCGUGCCAGCAGCCGCGGUAAUACGGAGGAUGCGAGCGUUAUCCGGAUUUAUUGGGUUUAAAGGGUGCGUAGGCGGAAUAUCAAGUCAGCGGUAAAAAUUCGGGGCUCAACCCCGUCGUGCCGUUGAAACUGAUGUUCUUGAGUGGGCGAGAAGUAUGCGGAAUGCGUGGUGUAGCGGUGAAAUGCAUAGAUAUCACGCAGAACUCCGAUUGCGAAGGCAGCAUACCGGCGCCCAACUGACGCUGAAGCACGAAAGCGUGGGUAUCGAAC